rnacentral:lncRNA from 1 species
AUUAUGGGUAGUAGGAACUGCGCAAGAUCCACCGAAGGAUGGCCUUACAGCUACACCCAGAGAAAAUAUGUCUUCAGCGGGUGUGAGAAGCCUGUUUACAGCCCGAGGAGUCUGGACGGCCCUUGUAGAAACCUGAUUACUCUGUUUAUGACGACUCAGACAGCCAAGGAGAAGCCAUGGCUCUGUCAAAUAGCUCAGCCUAAGUGAAAAGCAACAUCCAUCCCUGGAGACCCUGAAGAGAGAGAGUGACAGGGGCUGGGGACACACAAAUCACAGGCCACUAGCAAACAUGGCAUGCAACUGUCUCUCCAAGGCCCCAUCUCUAUCAAAAUAAACACGGGAAAGAGAGACUCAAGCAGAGACGAGGCCAGUUCAGAUUCAGCCCAGCUGCGGCAGCAGCAGCCGGCUUCUGUGACAGUUUUAGAUUUUGUGGCACUUUGGGUAUGUUUUGCACUCUCCCUCCUCCAGCCCCUGUGUCGCUUUGUCCUCCUGCGUAGAAAGGGAGCUUCCAGAGUAGCAAUGGGUUUUUGUUGGUGGUGGUCCACAAACAAUAGUGCUCCCGCUGGGACAGAGUCUUGGUUACUGGUCUUGUUCAACAGGGUAUGUUCCUGGAAAGACUUGCGUCAAUGGACUCAGAAAGAAAAGACCACGGUACAAGUCCAAGGCAUGACUUCAGAGAAAAAUGCGUCAUAGCCCAUUGUCUUUGGAGGUCUCUGUAAGCAGGGGGCAGAAGUCCAUGACUGCUCUGAGGGGCUGCCCUGAGCCUUCACAGAGCCUGUGAAAUAGUUUUCAAUGGCAGCUCAGCUCCUCCGCAGGUUCAGCUCCUCAGCAGGCUCACCUUGUCUUCUCGUCUCAGCAUUUUUACACUUCAGGUUUCCCAGAGAGAGAAACUGCCUGCCUUCGAUUCCCCUCGCCAGAACAGGCCAACUGGUCACCGGCACUAGGCAGAAGAACUCCACUGAAUAAUAGCACACUGGUAAUGUAGGACCUGGAGGGAGUCCCUGACCUCCCACGUAUCCUCGAGGAGGUUCACGUGGCCAGCAUGACGUCAUAAAGCUUGUAAUGAUAAAACCAGUCAAACGAAGCUUCUCCCCUCCCGUGGGAUCUACAAGAAGCACUCGGGAUGCCUGUGUCCAUCUUGGGAGCUGUGCUGCAGUGCAGAAGGACCACAGGGUCCCACAGUCCUGGAAUCUUUCCCUUGUUCUAUGGCUGCCCACGGCUAGGCAGGUCCCUGUCACACCUAACAUUGGCUCCCUCUUCCUCCUCCUCUCCUCCUCUACCCUCUUCCUCCUCCUCCUCCUGAGGAGCUUAGGGGUGAAGUGUAGGGAGAAGGAAGAGAAAUUUACUAAGGUAAAGAGUCACUGUAAGGAGAAGUCCUCUGAGAGCCUGGAGGCAGAGCUCUGUGGCUCUAGGGCAAGGUGUAGGGCUCCCAGACCUGGGUUGCUUCAACCUUAAACCACCUCCAUUUUCCAGCACUGUUACCUCAGGAGAGGUACCAAGUCUCUCUUGGCCCCAGUUUCUCAACUAUACAAUAAGGGUAAUAAUAGUACCUAUGUGUGGGGCUGUCUGGAAGACUAAAUGAGCUCAUAUGUUGCAGAAAGGCUAAGAACAGAUUAAACACAACAGACAUGUUAGCUGUAGUCUGUGGCAUCUGGGAUCUCCAUCUCCUACCAGCUGUCUAUGUAGAAGCAUAGUGUUUUAUAAGCUUCCCACCUCUAACCAUUUAGGAGAAGUGGUCCUAGGAUUCGUUUGAGUUAACACAGAAUGUCAGAGACAUCAUCCCUGCUCAUCAUCACAUGGCUAGUGUUUGCCUGGCUUGUACAGGGCCUCCACGGGAACCUCAGAUCACCCAGAGAGAAGCAGAUACGACAAGCAGACCAGUGUAAGGACAACGUUGGCCCAGAAGCCUGGGCAGAGUCGCAGCUAGCACAGAGUGGUCGAAGGAUUUAUUACCCAGUAACAACCGUUGUUAGUUCCGUGGGUCGUAACUAGUUAGGACCGUGUGCAAAGCGUUGUCACAGACACCAUCCGUGUAGGUGAUAGACACUCGGUGGGCUAUCCCACGCUGUGGGAUGGCCUCAUCCCUGCCCUGGGCACCAGGCUAGGAGGCCAUGAGUAACAUGCCAAGAUGUGAGGCAGAGUACAAAGAGGUUACUACUCAUCUGAAAACUUAGAAUUUCUCCUACCUCUCAAACUCAUCAUGUGGAAAGUUACUGUCCAUAUGUCCAUCCAUAAAGGAAUGGCGUUUUAGAGAAGUCAAAUGAUCCGUCUGUGGCCUACACAGCUCUCAGCCCCAGCACUCAGACCUGAAUUUAGAUCUCCGACUCCAAGGCCACAGGCUCAGUGGUCAACGCUGGAGGGCAGGAAUGAUGUGUAGGGCAAACUCAGAACUGCCCUGCCCGUGGCUCUCACAGCCUUUUCUAAUUGCCCCCAAAGGGCUCAAGUGAUACCAGCUCUCAUCUUACACCCAAAGCUCGAGGAGACGUCAGGGUGCAGGCUCUGACCCCAGACUGCUUGUCACCCAGGCCAGCCUCCUCCCAGCCUGGUUAAGAGUAAACGGUAGAAACCACAAAACUAACUUUAACUGAAAUAUGAACUUCCAAAUAAGCACUCUUUCCUAAGGGGCUUCUACUCAACACCAUGAAUAUACAGACAUGGAGAGGGCAGCACGUGGAGACCUGCCCAGCAGAGCGUGGGAGAGGAGAGGGGAAGGAUGCCACAGCUGAGCCGCUCACCAGGCGUCUCUGACGGGGCUCGACCAGGGACAUUUGUUUUGCUGCAGGUUUUGAUGGCAGGCGUGAGGGCAAU